rnacentral:rRNA from 1 species
CCUACGGGCGGCUGCAGUGGGGAAUAUUGGGCAAUGGGCGCAAGCCUUACCCAGCAAUACCGCGUGAGUGAAGCAGGUCUUCGGAUUGUAAAGCUCUUUGAUCAGGGACGAACAGAUGACGGUACCUGAAGAACAAGCCCCGGCUAACUACGUGCCAGCAGCCGCGGUAAAAAGGAGGGGGCGAGCGUUGUACGGAAUGAGUGGGCGGAAAGGGUGUGUAGGCGGCAUAAUAAGUUAGAAGUGAAAUACCCAGAGCUUAACUCGGGUGCUGCUUCUAAGACUUUUGAGCCUGAGUGCGGGAGAGGGUAAUGGAAUUCCUAGUGGUGCGGGGGAAUGCGUAGAUAUUAGGAGGAACACCAGAGGCGAAGGCGAUUAACUGGACCGUAACUGACGCUGAGGCACGAAAGUGUGGGUAGCAAACAGGAUUAGAUACCCCAGUAGUC